AUCUCCAAUAGCGUAUAUUAAAGUUGUUGCAGUUAAAAAGCUCGUAGUUGGAUUUGUGGUGAUUCCUGAGGUCCGAUUUCGGUUCCAUCAGGCGUCGCCAUCCUUGGGUGGAACCUGUGUGGCAUUAGUUUGCUGUGCAGGGGAUGCCCAUCGUUUACUGUGAAAAAAUUAGAGUGUUCAAAGCAGGCUUACGCCGUUGAAUAUAUUAGCAUGGAAUAAUAAGAUAGGACCUUGGCUCUAUUUUGUUGGUUUGCGUGCCGAGGUAAUGAUUAACAGGAACAGUUGGGGGUAUUCGUAUUCCAUUGUCAGAGGUGAAAUUCUUGGAUUUCUGGAAGACGAACUACUGCGAAAGCAUUUACCAAGGAUGUUU
rnacentral:rRNA from 1 species